rnacentral:misc_RNA from 1 species
GCAAACUUGGUCAUUUAGAGGAAGUAAAAGUCGUAACAAGGUUUCCGUAGGUGAACCUGCGGAAGGAUCAUUAACGAAUGCUCGAAAAAGCAUCCACCUUGCGCGCACUUGACCAGUUGUCCCUCUGGCAGGCUUCGCCGGACGCUCCUGCAGCGUUCGUGCGACCGGCUUCGGGGCCCGAUGUCGCCGUGUUCGGUCCGUGCGGCGGAACGCGGCGAUUUUCGGUCCCAUGAGGCGCAGGCGGCCUGCCGAGGAUUUCCCUCGCACGAAAGCACCAUAUGAAUCUCUGCCUGUAACCUGUUAUUUCGCAAAGAAAUAAAAAUUUUAACCAAAAUACAACUUUUAACAACGGAUCUCUUGGCUCUCGCAUCGAUGAAGAACGCAGC